GACGAAGGUGGCGAGCGUUGUUCGGAAUCACUGGGCAUAAAGCGCACGUAGGCGGUGACGUAAGUCGGGUGUGAAAUCCCUCGGCCUAACCGAGGAACUGCGCCCGAUACUGCGUUGCUUGAGGACCAGAGGGGUGCAUGGAAUUUCCGGUGGAGCGGUGAAAUGCGUUGAUAUCGGAAAGAACACCAACGGCGAAAGCACUCUGCUGGGCCGACACUGACACUGAGAGACGAAAGCUAGGGGAGCGAAUGGG
rnacentral:rRNA from 1 species